AAUAUUGUUUAUAAUUAAUGUUUUUAAUUUUAAUUUUAAAUUAAUCACUUUGACAUUUAUGUCAAAUUUCCGGUAAACGUUUACAAACUUGUCACUACUGGCGUUCGCGAAUUUGUAAAUAUCCCCUCUACGUACGAGCUCACAGCGUAUACGCUGUGAGCUUCGCUGGUGUCGCUCCUAGCGGUUACUAAUUCAACUUUUACCGGUAAUUUUUAAAUUUAUUAUUUAAUUGUUAUCGCUUAAUAUUUACAACGCAAAAAAGUAAUUAAAUUGUAAUCGAUUUUUUUAAGAUUUUUCUAAUCAUUUUGACGUUCUAUUGAUAAAAUAUCAAUUUCCUACUUCGGAUACUUUGACAAUAAUCGUGUAGAUGGCGCUAAGAUUAUAAUAGAUUAUUUAUAAUUAGAUAUUACGGAACAUUAAAAAAACUUAAAUUCGGUAUUUAAAACGUAAGUAUAUUUAAGGUAAAAAUAUAUACCACAGCUUUGACCAACUAAUAUUGUUUAUAAUUAAUGUUUUUAAUUUUAAUUUUAAAUUAAUCACUUUGACAUUUAUGUCAAAUUUCCGGUAAAAGUUUACAAACUUGUCACUACUGGCGUUCGCGAAUUUGUAAAUAUCCCCUCUACGUACGAGCUCACAGCGUAUUGGGAUAAACCGUAAUCGUACCCCCUCCUAACUGCCAAAGUGUCAUGGCCGCCGUCGGGACCUAUUGUGCUGACAUUUACAAUGUUUACAUAUAGAAAAGUUUGUUUUUUUCUGCUUAUAAUGCCGUUUUCUAAAGAUAUUAGUGAACAAAAUCGAUUUGCUAACAAUAUUUAAUAUAUUUUAAAUGUGCUAAAAUUGGAUUCAACAGCAAAAGUCGCAUAAAUAACAUAUAAAUAACGAAUUUGUUCACCUAUUACAAAUGGGGUUAUGUGGUUGUAACUGUUUAUUUUGGGAAUAAAAUGAAAAUGAUCAAUUAAACGACUGGAAAACUAUAGUGAAGUGAAGAACAUCUUGAAGUUCCAAUGAUGUUUCAAGAUGAGAUAAAUCGAAAUAAUGGUUGUAUGUUAGAAGGACAGAGAAUACGAAGAAAUGUUAUUACUGCAUACUUAGUGUAGUGAAAUACAAACUUCAAACAUUAUAAUAUAUUUUUUUAUUUCAAACAUUUCAUAUGAUUAUGAAAGAACAUCUUCCUCUUUAAAACAAUGAAGAAGUGAAGAACAUAAUAAAGUUCCAACGAAAAUGAUUCCAGAUGAGGAAAAUCGAAAUAAUGGUUGUAUGUUACGUGUAUAGAGAAUACGAAGAAAUGUUAUUGCUGCAAACUUAGUGUAGUGAAUUAAAAACUUAUUGUCAAAUACAAAUCAAUUUAUUUCAUACUUUUAUAAUAUAUAGUGGUACAAUUUUAUAUGUGUUCAAAUAAAAAUAUUAAUAAAUAAAAUACAAUAAACACAAA